AUGGCAGCCGCCACGCCGCGCCUCCGUGCCACGCACCUUCCACGGUUGUCGCCCCGAGCCGUCGCGACCUUUGCGCCACCACGAAGGUCUUUCGCGACCUCCUCGUCUCCGCGACCGCCGUGCCCUUCGCGCACACUCCCCACGUCCCCGCGCUCCCAGCCCGCGCUCCCGCCGCGCACGUACGCGGUCUGCGCAACCAGGUCCAGCGCCUCGACGCGGUCCACUCCCGCGGUCCCGACGCGCUCGACACGUCCAGUGCGCGCCCAUAACACGCACCGGUCGCGUCCGGCUCGCCGCCACGUCUUAUUGCCCUGCACCGCUGCGGCCUCCAUGCCGCCAUGCCGUGCUGCGCCGCCGCGCCACCACGCAGCGCCUCGGCGGCCUCCGUGGUCGCCGCACGCACGACGUCACCGCCCGCCGCAUCCGCCACGCGCCAUGAGAGCCACAGCGCCGCCCACCUCCAUGGGCCGACACACGGCCCGGAGCUCCAUCGCGCAGCCGCCGGCGAGCGCCACCAUCGCUGCCACGCCUCCGGCACGGCAAGCACGCCCAAGACACCAAGCUCUGAUACCAAAUGUUGGCGCCGCCGCUCCUCGGAACGCCGCUUCUUCUUCCUCACACAACUCUCCCUUCCUCUUGGUUCUCUCAAGAACACACACCAUGGAAGAAACCCAGAAAAAACACACGCACACACACACCAGGGAAGGAAGCCAACUAGCUUUGCCAAGAGGCUCUCCUCCUGGGUCACACAAGUGCUACAUCUUUUCUGCCAGCUCUCACGGCUCCUCUACACAACAGCACCGGGGCCCUUUUAAUACACAGACUUACGCCCAGCCCAGCCGCCCAGAUCGGCCACUAACCCCAAGCACUAACUACAGCACGCAUGCACCACACCGGCCACUACCACAUGACCGGGCCACUAACCCACUAGCUACAUGCAUGCAACUAGAUAACUACCUUAUCCAUGCACUCCAGGACUGGGCAACUCCACCGGACGCCCCGCUCGUAACAUCCGCGGGACUCGGCUGCUAA
rnacentral:rRNA from 1 species